GUUAAACAUAAAGAGCGUAGGGUGGAUGCCUAGGCACUGACAGCCGAAGAAAGACGUGACAAGCUGCGAAAAGCUGCGGGGAGAAGCACAUAUUCAGUGAUCCGCAGAUGUCUGAAUGGGGAAACCCACUUGGAAGAACUCCAAGUAUCUGUACGCCAAUACAUAACGUACAGAGGGGAACCCGGUGAACUGAAACAUCUAAGUAGCCGGAGGAAAAGAAAACAACAGUGAUUGCGAAAGUAGCGGCGAGCGAAAUCGUAAGAGCCCAAACCGUGGUGCGUGCACUGCGGGGUAGAGGACUGCAACACGAGUAAGAUAUAUUACCUGAACCGUUUUGGAAAAGCGGGCCAAAGAGCGUGAGAGCCGUGUAAGGGAAAAUGUAUUGAAUCCAGCAGUAUCCGGAGUACCACGAGACACGAGAAACCUUGUGGGAAGCAGGGGGGACCACCCCCCAAGGCUAAAUACUAGUCAGUGACCGAUAGCGUAUAGUACUGUGAAGGAAAGGUGAAAAGAACCCCGGGAGGGGAGUGAAAAAGAACCUGAAACCCUAUGUUUACAAACUGUGGAACACCGAAAGGUGAACCGCGUACUUUUUGUAGAACGGUCCGGCGAGUUACAUGUACAGGCGAGGUUAAGUAUUAAAGAUACGGAGCCGAAGGGAAACCAAGUCUUAAUAGGGCGAUAUUAGUCAGUAUGUGUAGACCCGAAACCGGGUGAUCUAUCCAUGUCCAGGUUGAAGUUCGCGUAAAAGUGAAUGGAGGACCGAACACACAUCCGUUGAAAAGGGUGGUGAUGAGGUGUGGAUAGGGGAGAAAUUCCAAUCGAACCCGGAGAUAGCUGGUUCUCCUCGAAAUAGUUUUAGGACUAGCCUUGUUUUAGUUUCAUGGAGGUAGAGCUCUGAAUUCUUAAGGGGGCGUCAAAGCUUACUAAGAGAUAUCAAACUGCGAAUGCCAUCGAAAUGAUGAACAGGAGUCAGACUGCACGAGAUAAGUUGGGUAGUCAAAAGGGAAAGAGCCCAGACCUACGGCUAAGGUCCCAAAGUGUGUGUUAAGUGGAAAAGGAUGUGGGAUUUCGAAGACAGCUAGGAUGUUGGCUUAGAAGCAGCCAUACAUUAAAAGAGUGCGUAACAGCUCACUAGUCGAGAGGUCCUGCGCCGAAAAUGUCCGGGGCUAAACACAACACCGAAGCCUGGGAAUGUAGUAAUACAUUGGUAGAGGAGCAUUCUUAGAGGCGUAGAAGCCAUACCGGAAGGAAUGGUGGAGUAAUAAGAAGAGAGAAUGCCGGAAUGAGUAGCGAGAAAGAGGUGAGAAUCCUCUUGGCCGAAUAUCUAAGGUUUCCUGAGUAAAGCUGAUCUACUCAGGGUAAGUCGGGGCCUAAGGCAAGGUCGAAAGACGUAGUCGAUGGAUAACAGGUACAGAUUCCUGUACUACAUAUAAUCAGAACUGUGGGGACACGGAGACUGAAACCGAACCCGGGAGGACAAAAACCGGGGCAAGCGAAGUACCUGUAUGGGAGGAAAAACCACCAUACAAGGGGAAAACGUGAUGCGUACCGAAAAUUAGUAGGGAAGUCGGUUAGGGAGCCGUCAAGAAAAGCCGCUAUUGUGUUAUAUGUACCCGUACCGCAAACCGACACAGGUAGAUGAGGAGAGAAUCCUAAGGCCGGCGGGAGAAGCAUUGUUAAGGAACUCGGCAAAAUGACCCCGUAACUUCGGGAGAAGGGGUGCCACUUUAAUAGAGUGGUCGCAGAAAAAAGGCUCAAGCAACUGUUUAGCAAAAACACAGGUCUAUGCGAAACCGCAAGGUGAAGUAUAUGGGCUGACGCCUGCCCGGUGCCGGAAGGUUAAGAGGAGAAGUCAGGAAACGAAGCUUUGAAUUGAAGCCCCGGUAAACGGCGGCCGUAACUAUAACGGUCCUAAGGUAGCGAAAUUCCUUGUCGGGUAAGUUCCGACCCGCACGAAAGGCGUAAUGAUUUGAGCGCUGUCUCAACAAUGCACCCGGUGAAAUUGAAGUACCAGUGAAGAUGCUGGUUACCCGCGCCAGGACGGAAAGACCCCAUGGAGCUUUACUCCAGUUUGGUACUGGGAUUCG
rnacentral:rRNA from 1 species